GAUGAACGCUGGCGGCGUGCCUAAUACAUGCAAGUCGAGCGAACAGACGAGGAGCUUGCUCCUCUGACGUUAGCGGCGGACGGGUGAGUGACACGUGGAUAACCUACCUAUAAGACUGGGAUAACUUCGGGAAACCGGAGCUAAUACCGCAUAAUAUAUUGAACCGCAUGGUUCAAUAGUGAAAGACGGUUUUGCUGUCACUUAUAGAUGGAUCCGCGCCGCAUUAGCUAGUUGGUAAGGUAACGGCUUACCAAGGCAACGAUGCGUAGCCGACCUGAGAGGGUGAUCGGCCACACUGGAACUGAGACACGGUCCAGACUCCUACGGGAGGCAGCAGUAGGGAAUCUUCCGCAAUGGGCGAAAGCUUGACGGAGCAACGCCGCGUGAGUGAUGAAGGUCUUCGGAUCGUAAAACUCUGUUAUUAGGGAAGAACAAAUGUGUAAGUAACUAUGCACGUCUUGACGGUACCUAAUCAGAAAGCCACGGCUAACUACGUG
rnacentral:rRNA from 1 species